AGCCCGCAGCAGAGGCAGGAGGCCAUAAAUAACCCUAGCAGCAGCUCGUGCAGACGCCAGAUCGAUUCCUUGUUCGCCCCCAAUCCAUUCCCCACCAAAAGCCGUCAAGCCGGAGGCGGAGGAGGAAGGAGAUCGAGCGGAGGCGACGCAGCCGGAGAUGAAGACUUUCGACCCGUGGCCGGUGUUCUUCCGCCGGGAGUGGCGCCGCAACUGGCCCUUCCUCACCGGCUUCGCCAUCACCGGUUUCCUCAUCACCAAGAUGACGGCCAACUUCACCGAGGAGGACCUCAAGAACUCCAAGUUCGUCCAGGAGCACAAGAAGCACUGAUGGGACCAGGUGAGACGCCCCCGCCUCCCUCGUCGGCGAGAUCCGUGCAUCUAUGUAUCGCGUUGGAGGAGGCUAGAUCUGUUUGUUCCCUGUUAUUCACUUAUUCCUCGUGCCGCCGCAUGUGCUGCCUAGAUUCCGCUCGUGGUUGACCCUGGUGUUUGAUGUUGCUGCUGCUUGUUGAUGCGAUGCGUCAUGCGUGUAAUCUUUACCUGAUCUGUUCUAAUAGCGCUUGAAUCGAUAGGUUAUUCGACCGUGAGUUGGAUUUUGGGGGUAAUUCGGUGUAGGGAGGAAAAAGGCGCAUAUGCAUUUUUCUUAUUGCUUUAGGGAAAUGGAUGGUUUAGUUGUCAAAUCAUCUAACUAGUUUAUCUCUGUCAUAGAUAGUUCGGAUUGACCAAACGAGAUUAAUGCCAUUUCUGCUUUCUUUGGUCUGUGGGAUAUGAGUCUGAGUCUAAGGCCACCACUUGUUUGGCAAUAUGUUCUAUCACAGCAAACCUCACACCUGCUGUUGUACUUCUGACAUUUCCCUUUUUUAACAAUGGAUCAUGGCUCUUAACUGGUGUAACAUUGCUCAAUUCAACCAGUCUGAAAGUUCUGCACCUUUACUACUGCAAAUUGUCUAAUUUGUAACCCUGGUGCUUGAUACUGUCAAGAUGCCUAAGCCUGAGUGCUUUCUGAUAUGCUCCUUGAGGACUCUCUUCUGUUCCUCAUUAACUCAGCCAACUUGCCCACCUUUUUCUCUAGAAUUAACACAUAUCAACUCUCAGCUGACCUACUACUUUUGAGUAAUUGUGGAAAUGCAAAAAAGGAUAGGAUCUAAUUCCUGCGUCUUGUAGCCUCUUGGUGACCACCUGUGUUGUUUGUUGCCAUUUAAUUACUUAAGACUUGAGAUGAUAAGCUUCUUGUUUGAGAAUUUUGAAGACCUCCCUCCCCACUACGACAGUAGUAAGAGUUCUUAACUCUCCCCUUUUGAUGGUUCAAUGGAAUUUAUCACUUUAUAGUGUUGUUGCCUCAGUAUAUUUUGCAUGCUGACGCCCCAUGAUCAUUUCUUAGGACCUAGUUUGAUAGGUGCAGAAACUGUUCGCUGACUUAUUUUCUUUUAUGGUUACAUGCUGGACUUUGACAAUUGAGCAAUUUUCGAAAUAUGUGUGGCUAAUGUGCGGAUAGCUCGUGAUAGUAGAAUUAAAUGCUGUCAUGAGCAUUGGCAUUAGAUGUGUGGGUAAUUGAUUGUGAGGUCCUACGUGGAGGAUCAUAGCUGUGGGUAGUCGCGCUUUCUCGCAGUAUUAGCGUGAUAAGGUAUUGAUCUUUGCUCGUAAAGUAGGCUGUAAAGAUGUUUAUGUACUUGUAGGAAAGUCUAGCCGUCUCUGUACAAGACCUUUUCUUAGUAUACCCUUUUGGUGGUUACAAACUUACAAUGAAUCCAUCCCUUGAUAAUGUUAUCGCUUGAGUAUAUUUUGCAUACUGGUGCCCCUGAUCAAUUCCUAGGGCAUAGUUUCUUUGGUGUGGUUGUCAUUUUUCUCUGAAUAACCUUCUGUUAUCUUGACAUGUUAGAAAAGAAAUUGACUAUCAACCUUCUGGUGGUGAAAAGGAAGAUCUUGGCCUUGAAAUAAAACAUCCGUAUCUGACAAUAAAUCAUUAGUUUGUUGGGUUUCAGCUUGUAGCUUGUGGGUAUUAUUCAUACAAUUUUUAUGCUAUCAUAUUAUGAAUGCAUUUGAUGAAAGAAUAAUUGAUUGUUUAGUCCAUUGAGGGCAAAUGAACAAAGCUGUUUUGGAUGGAAUAUGUUUGUCAUGUAGUUUCAUAGUAAUCCAAAUCUCCAUGGAUCUUGGUCUUUCUCUUUUAAACUGUUAAACCUGCAAGGAUCUCCAAUGUGUCGUUUUGCAGUUGAUGUUAUAUUCUGGUUUAAUAUUUUGAAAUCAAAGUGCUUAACGCUUUCAGUUCCUGCAGGUGGAGUUGUCCAUGUUGCCUAGGUGGCCAGCCAAUUCUGUUGUUCUGUUUGAAUGAAAUUAGUCCACCUUCCUUUUCUCUCCUUUUUCAUCCAAAUGCGUGCACUCUAUGCUCCGUUUGUAAUGUAAUAAGAGGCAAAUGAAUUGUUGAACCAGAAAAAAAAUCAGCUUCUGAUUGUAAUACUCCCAAGUUUGAUGAGGUUUCCUGACUUAUAUCUGGGACAUGUGCGCAUGCACUCACUCUAUAUCCUUUUGACUACUUAAUUAGAAAACUAUUGAAGAUCUUGUCAAUU
rnacentral:lncRNA from 1 species